rnacentral:rRNA from 1 species
AUUGAACGCUGGCGGCAGGCCUAACACAUGCAAGUCGAGCGGAUGAAGGGAGCUUGCUCCUGGAUUCAGCGGCGGACGGGUGAGUAAUGCCUAGGAAUCUGCCUGGUAGUGGGGGAUAACGUCCGGAAACGGGCGCUAAUACCGCAUACGUCCUGAGGGAGAAAGUGGGGGAUCUUCGGACCUCACGCUAUCAGAUGAGCCUAGGUCGGAUUAGCUAGUUGGUGGGGUAAAGGCCUACCAAGGCGACGAUCCGUAACUGGUCUGAGAGGAUGAUCAGUCACACUGGAACUGAGACACGGUCCAGACUCCUACGGUAGGCAGCAGUGGGGAAUAUUGGACAAUGGGGGAAAGCCUGAUCCAGCAAUGCCGCGUGUGUGAAGAAGGUCUUCGGAUUGUAAAGCACUUUAAGUUGGGAGGAAGGGCAGUAAGUUAAUACCUUGCUGUUUUGACGUUACCAACAGAAUAAGCACCGGCUAACUUCGUG